UCUCAUCUGUGUGCUGACAGACUCAAUCUCUUGAACAAGUGGCACUAAUAUUGUCUCAUUGAUCCACUAGAAGAAAUAAGUCAGUCCACAAUGAAACUGUUACACACAGCACUAAGAACACAGCAAGUGAACAGAAUCACCCCAAAAAAGACAAAUCACAUGUAAUUCAAAGGAGGCUCCAAGUCAAUCAAGAGAGGCGGAACGCCUAGCCACAUCCCCCCCUUGGCUGAACCCAGGACAGAUCAGCAGGCGCGGAACUCCCACAACCCGCGUGGAUUCCAAGACAGGAAGCACAAACACGACCCCGAAAACGCACCAUAUCCUCU